AUACGGGGGGGGCAAGCGUUGUUCGGAAUUAUUGGGCGUAAAGGGCGCGUAGGCGGUCCCGCAAGUCUUUCGUGAAAUCCCACAGCUCAACUGUGGAACUGCGAGGGAAACUGCAGGACUUGAGUCCGGGAGAGGAGAGUGGAAUUCCCAGUGUAGCGGUGAAAUGCGUAGAUAUUGGGAGGAACACCGGUGGCGAAGGCGGCUCUCUGGACCGGUACUGACGCUGAGGCGCGAAAGCUAGGGGAGCAAACAGGAUUAGAUACCCCGGUAGUCC
rnacentral:rRNA from 1 species